GCAAAGCUUAGCUUCAUGCUGCUUGGGCUUGACACUGACCCAGAAGAACCAAGAAAGCAGAAGACAGGACUGAAACUGCUCAUUCUUUGGUGCCAGAUCACAGCAGGAUACAAGAUACCUGAGGACUAUCUUUUGUUUGCAGACUGCUGCAAGACAGAGGCACAAUCAUCUAUUGUCGGAGCCAGACAAGGGGGAAGAGGAGAGGAGUGCUGCUGAAAUGUGACUGGCAGAAAAGGCGAGUGUUGAGUUUUUAUUAAUGUGCAUGGUUCAAGUUUCAGAAGAAUCAGUGCAGUUGUUGGCAGAAAAUGACCAAUAUUCAAGGGGUUUAAUGCGCUUUGUAAAGUUAAAAGCAGUCAAAGUAGAAAAAACCCCAUAGGAAUAUUGCAGGGGAGGUCAAAGAAUGGGAUAAAUCUGGCUUCCCAUGUGGAGGUGUAAUUUUAUUACCUGUUUGCAGAAAUAAAUGAAUUUAUCACAUGGAUGUGAUUACCA
rnacentral:lncRNA from 1 species